rnacentral:rRNA from 1 species
GAUGAACGCUAGCGGCAGGCUUAAUACAUGCAAGUCGAGGGGUAACAGGAGAGGCUUGCUUCUUGCUGACGACCGGCGCACGGGUGCGUAACGCGUAUGCAACCUACCUAUAACUAAGGGAUAGCCCAGAGAAAUUUGGAUUAAUACCUUAUGGUACUGUAAGAUGGCAUCAUUUAAUAGUUAAAGAUUUAUCGGUUAUAGAUGGGCAUGCGUUAGAUUAGCUAGUUGGUAAGGUAAUGGCUUACCAAGGCGACGAUCUAUAGGGGGUCUGAGAGGAUGAUCCCCCACACUGGCACUGAGAUACGGGCCAGACUCCUACGGGAGGCAGCAGUAGGGAAUAUUGGACAAUGGAGGCAACUCUGAUCCAGCCAUGCCGCGUGCAGGAAGACUGCCUUCUGGGUUGUAAACUGCUUUUAUAUGCGAGAAAAUGACCUACGUGUAGGUAUAUGAUGUUAGCAUACGAAUAAGGACCGGCUAACUCCG